rnacentral:rRNA from 1 species
CACGUAGGGGGCAAGCGUUGUCCGGAUUUAUUGGGCGUAAAGAGCUCGUAGGUGGUUCGGUAAGUCGGGUGUGAAAACUCUGGGCUCAACUCAGAGACGCCACCCGAUACUGCUGUGACUCGAGUCUGGUAGGGGAGUGUGGAAUUCCCAGUGUAGCGGUGAAAUGCGCAGAUAUUGGGAGGAACACCAGUGGCGAAGGCGGCACUCUGGGCCAGUACUGACACUGAGGAGCGAAAGCGUGGGGAGCAAACAGG